GGAGAGAUGGCUGAGUGGUCAAAAGCGCUUGCCUGCUAAGCAAGAGUCCUAGAAAUGGGGCGCGAGGGUUCGAAUCCCUCUCUCUCCACCA
rnacentral:tRNA from 1 species